CUAAUAUUUAUGAAAUCUGCUGUGUUGGUGUAAUGUACUCAGGUACAUUACACCAACACAGCAGGUUUCAUAAAUAUUAG
rnacentral:miRNA from 1 species